rnacentral:rRNA from 1 species
GUGGGGAAUAUUGGACAAUGGGGGGAACCCUGAUCCAGUCAUGCCGCGUGUGUGAAGAAGGCCUUUUGGUUGUAAAGCACUUUAAGCGAGGAGGAGGCUACCGAGAUUAAUACUCUUGGAUAGUGGACGUUACUCGCAGAAUAAGCACCGGCUAACUCUGUGCCAGCAGCCGCGGUAAUACAGAGGGUGCAAGCGUUAAUCGGAUUUACUGGGCGUAAAGCGCGCGUAGGUGGCUAAUUAAGUCAAAUGUGAAAUCCCCGAGCUUAACUUGGGAAUUGCAUUCGAUACUGGUUGGCUAGAGUAUGGGAGAGGAUGGUAGAAUUCCAGGUGUAGCGGUGAAAUGCGUAGAGAUCUGGAGGAAUACCGAUGGCGAAGGCAGCCAUCUGGCCUAAUACUGACACUGAGGUGCGAAAGCAUGGGGAGCAAACAGGAUUAGAAACCCUGGUAGUCC